UUGAAUGUUUCUAUCAUCACUAGCUAUACUGCUUAUUAGUCUGGAAACAGUUUACUGAGAUUGAGGCAGGCAUCUGGAAGCUGCACCAAUUAAUGAACUAUGACUGCUGGUGUAGAUGACAAGGAGCAACUCUAUAUUUUAAAAUUUUAGUCGUGGCUCUGAUUGAUUGAAGGCCAAUCUAAUUUCAGGCAGAGUAAUUUCGGUCCAAACCUGUUCAAAUACCUGCUGAAUACCCAUUUUAACUCAACACGAGGAUGUGCUGUAAUGAAGGCAUCAUCUAAAUUAUUUCAUUGUCUUAGAGUGUGUUUUCAGAAAUGUCUAAUUCAAAUUUCAUCUGUGCUGGAGUUCAGACCUGCUUUGGAUUAACAUCCCUCAACAAUAUGACUCACAGCUCAUUUAGAGUGUGUGUGCUUCAGACCUUGCCAUGACAAUUUUCAACUUUAGGAGGAAGACUGGUGACUGGUCAGCAUUAUGGGAACAUGUGAAGGCAGUUUUGUUUUUGGCCGACCGUGAGCUCAGAGGUCACUGCCAGAUGCACAGCAGCAUCCCUGCAGGGUGCAGGGCAUUGGCUGAGGGCACUUCAGCUUAGUGAAUAGUUGCUGACACAUGGACAUGAUCUCUGAUUCUCUGGCUCAAAGAUCAUCAUCAGCUGUGCCACCCUGUAUUAAACACAUAAAAGCAUUUAUAUUUUCUAUACUGUGUGAUGUUCUGUCCUGCUGUCCUUGUGCUUUUUCAGUGACUUUGUUCUGAUUUUUUUGGUUGGUUGGGUUUGUGACCCAUUUACUAAGCGGGACUGUGCUCAAGAAAGUGUGAGAGCGCAUUAAAUUAGAAUAUACUUUUAACUUUAGCGAAACAUGACUGUUGUCUUUGUUGGAAUUUAUGCUUUGGUGUCUGUGACAGUUAAGAACACCUGAAGACAUUGCUGAAUAUGAGAAGCACUGCAGGUUGUAAUGCAUUCGACUGUAAUGCUAUUUUAUAUUCAUGCAGAUUAUAUCAGAUUAUAUCAUCACUCCAUAAUAAGCCACACCCCAUUUUUAGAUGGAGUGACUUGCUGACUGAUGCCUAAUGUGAAUGAAAAUGUUUUCACCUGCUCACCAAAAGGGUAAAAUAAAUGCCUCAGAGCUUGAUUAAAUCACGCCAAACAUAACUGGCAUGAACGUCAGCAUGUGUCAGCCUCAGAUUCACUAUAAUCAAGUAGCACAAUGCUAAGUGCCUCUCAUUGUGAGUGCUGUGUUGUUGCAGCAGCAGCAGCAGCAGAGUAGCUUACCUGGCCACCUCACCAGAGGUGCUAAUGGUAUUGGCCACUUCAGUGUAAGUUAGAGAAGGGCAUCGCUGGAGCCGGCAGUAAACAGCUCCAGAGUGACAUGUCAGGGUGACUGUUGGCUUGAUUGCUUUCAUCACUCACACACUGUCCAAAGUCAGAACUGCCAGCUUAGGACUUACAUCUGCCAGGUCCUGCUAUCAGCAUCCCAGUGCAUGAACAAAUGUCGAAAAUGAGUGAUGCAACUGCUGGUAAUAAAUAAAAAAAGACCAGAGAGUUAAACUGAGAUGGUUAUUUUUGUGUUCCUAUUUUGAUCAUCUAUAAUGAAGAAAUACGAAGAAACAAGCCUUUUUUGUUCCAAAGUGGUGGGGAGGCUGCAAAGGAAAAUGGAGCAAGGCUGUUGCAUAUGGAAAAA